rnacentral:rRNA from 1 species
AUUGAACGCUGGCGGCAGGCUUAACACAUGCAAGUCGAGCGGAGAUGAGGUGCUUGCACCUUAUCUUAGCGGCGGACGGGUGAGUAAUGCUUAGGAAUCUGCCUAUUAGUGGGGGACAACAUUCCGAAAGGAAUGCUAAUACCGCAUACGUCCUACGGGAGAAAGCAGGGGAUCUUCGGACCUUGCGCUAAUAGAUGAGCCUAAGUCGGAUUAGCUAGUUGGUGGGGUAAAGGCCUACCAAGGCGACGAUCUGUAGCGGGUCUGAGAGGAUGAUCCGCCACACGGGGACUGGGACACGGCCCAGACUCCUACGGGAGGCAGCAGUGGGGAAUACUGGACAAUGGGGGGAACCCUGAUCCAGCCAUGCCGCGUGUGUGAAGAAGGCCUUAUGGUUGUAAAGCACUUUAAGCGAGGAGGAGGCUACUGAGACUAAUACUCUUGGAUAGUGGACGUUACUCGCAGAAUAAGCACCGGCUAACUCUGUGCCAGCAGCCGCCGUAACAC